rnacentral:rRNA from 1 species
UCUCACUGACCAUACUAUGUUGAACACAACGGUUCUUGUCCGAUCAGCGAAGUUAAUAAAUAUUGGGAAUAAUAUUUAAGUGGGUGACCACUUGGAAAACCAUGUGUCGUUUUAA